UACGUAGGGUGCAAGCGUUGUCCGGAAUUAUUGGGCGUAAAGAGCUCGUAGGCGGUCUGUCGCGUCGGAUGUGAAAACUCGGGGCUCAACCCCGAGCCUGCAUUCGAUACGGGCAGACUAGAGUUCGGUAGGGGAGACUGGAAUUCCUGGUGUAGCGGUGAAAUGCGCAGAUAUCAGGAGGAACACCAGUGGCGAAGGCGGGUCUCUGGGCCGAUACUGGCGCUGAGGAGCGAAAGCGUGGGGAGCGAACAGG
rnacentral:rRNA from 1 species